UUGCAGCGGCGUGGCUGCAGCCCGUGGUCGGCCGGUCUUCUCGCGGCACCGGCGGGACUUGCUCCGGCGUGUGGUUGUCUGCGGCUUACUCGGGUGAGAUUCCUUCCUCCCCUACGGACUCAGGGACGGGCGCGACAGGCAGGGGUGGUUCCAUGGUGAGGUGUUGGUGUGCCGGUGGGCUUGCCGGAGGUGGCUGUGGACUUAGGGUAGGGGGCAGGGGUUCCCCUCCGUUGCAUCUGGCGGCUGCUCCGUGGCCGCCGGAGUUCCUCUGGCCCAGAUCUGGCCGCCGAGGCCACCAACCCUGCCAAGGUUUCCGCUUUGGGGUGGAAAGUCUACUCCUUUCCGGUCGGUCGUGUCGGUACUGUGUGUCCGUGGUCGAGGAUGGGGCUCGGAUGCUUGGGCGGCGGCCCUGCUGGUGGGAGCCGGGGUGCUUGUGGGCGUAGCACGCGGCUCGGGCGCUGUCCGAUCACCAUGGCCGUGUGGGCGGCAUGGUGGCCGGGGUGUGUCGUUCAAUGGUGGUGGUGCGGCUGUCCGUACCCCAAUUUGGUGACAGUGAGUGUUGGCCGGGGUGAAAACCCGCUCUGUCUUGUCAGGCCGGCGGUGGCGGCGUUCCAGCGUCGUUCCCUUCUUGAAGGCGUCGUCGCGGUAUCUCGCUUGUAACCGUGGUGCUCCGGGGGAAACCCUAAUCCUUGGAUUGGGUGGUGGCGGCGAUCCGGCGUCGUUCCCUUCUUGAAGGCACCGCCUUGGAGCCCAUUGUUCGUCAUGCACGGCUUCUCCUCAUCAUGGUGAUUCUUCCACGGUUGAGGGCUCCGACAACUUCAAAGUAGUGCUUAGGGUUUUAUCCGUUGUUUGCUUGGAGUAGUUUGGGGUGAUGUUGCUGUUUUCAGCGUCCUUGUAUCUGCCUCGGGUGUGUGUGUUGUGUUGGUGUGGGGUGUGUGUUUGUAUCGACUUGCUCGAUGAUUGUUGCUUUAUUUAUAAAGCGGGGGAAACCCUUUUUCUCA
rnacentral:lncRNA from 1 species